rnacentral:piRNA from 1 species
UACCUAAAGACAUCUCUGAUUUUGAUGGU